rnacentral:rRNA from 1 species
GGAAGUAAAAGUCGUAACAAGGUCUCCGUUGGUGAACCAGCGGAGGGAUCAUUACCGAGUUAUACAACUCCCAAACCCACUGUGAACCUUACCUCAGUUGCCUCGGCGGGAACGCCCCGGCCGCCUGCCCCCGCGCCGGCGCCGGACCCAGGCGCCCGCCGCAGGGACCCCAAACUCUCUUGCAUUACGCCCAGCGGGCGGAAUUUCUUCUCUGAGUUGCACAAGCAAAAACAAAUGAAUCAAAACUUUCAACAACGGAUCUCUUGGUUCUGGCAUCGAUGAAGAACGCAGCGAAAUGCGAUAAGUAAUGUGAAUUGCAGAAUUCAGUGAAUCAUCGAAUCUUUGAACGCACAUUGCGCCCGCCAGCAUUCUGGCGGGCAUGCCUGUUCGAGCGUCAUUUCAACCCUCGAGCCCCCCCGGGGGCCUCGGUGUUGGGGGACGGCACACCAGCCGCCCCCGAAAUGCAGUGGCGACCCCGCCGCAGCCUCCCCUGCGUAGUAGCACACACCUCGCACCGGAGCGCGGAGGCGGUCACGCCGUAAAACGCCCAACUUUCUUAGAGUUGACCUCGGAUCAGGUAGGAAUACCCGCUGAACUUAAGCAUAUCAAUAAGCGGA